UAGGGAAUCUUCGGCAAUGGACGAAAGUCUGACCGAGCAACGCCGCGUGAGUGAAGAAGGUUUUCGGAUCGUAAAACUCUGUUGUUAGAGAAGAACAAGGAUGAGAGUAGAAUGUUCAUCCCUUGACGGUAUCUAACCAGAAAGCCACGGCUAACUACGUGCCAGCAGCCGCGGUAAUACGUAGGUGGCAAGCGUUGUCCGGAUUUAUUGGGCGUAAAGCGAGCGCAGGCGGUUUCUUAAGUCUGAUGUGAAAGCCCCCGGCUCAACCGGGGAGGGUCAUUGGAAACUGGAAAACUUGAGUGCAGAAGAGGAGAGUGGAAUUCCAUGUGUAGCGGUGAAAUGCGUAGAUAUAUGGAGGAACACCAGUGGCGAAGGCGGCUCUCUGGUCUGUAACUGACGCUGAGGCUCGAAAGCGUGGGGAGCAAACAGG
rnacentral:rRNA from 1 species